rnacentral:rRNA from 1 species
GGUCAAGCGAACAAGUGCAUGUGGUGGAUGCCUUGGCGAUCACAGGCGAUGAAGGACGCGGUAGCCUGCGAAAAGCCCCGGGGAGCUGGCAAACAAGCUUUGAUCCGGGGAUGUCCGAAUGGGGAAACCCACUCCUUUUGGAGUAUCCAUGACUGAAUACAUAGGUCAUGUGAAGCGAACGCGGUGAACUGAAACAUCUAAGUAACCGCAGGAAAAGAAAUCAACCGAGAUUCCCAAAGUAGUGGCGAGCGAAAUGGGAUGAGCCUUGUACUCUUUAUUUGUAUUGUUAGCCGAACGCUCUGGAAAGUGCGGCCAUAGCAGGUGAUAGCCCUGUAGGCGAAAACAGUAUGAAAGAACUAGGUGUACGACAAGUAGGGCGGGACACGUGAAAUCCUGUCUGAAGAUGGGGGGACCAUCCUCCAAGGCUAAAUACUCGUGAUCGACCGAUAGUGAACCAGUACCGUGAGGGAAAGGCGAAAAGAACCCCGGGAGGGGAGUGAAAUAGAUCCUGAAACCGCAUGCAUACAAACAGUCGGAGCCUCGUAAGGGGUGACGGCGUACCUUUUGUAUAAUGGGUCAGCGACUUACGUUCAGUAGCAAGCUUAACCGUAUAGGGCAGGCGUAGCGAAAGCGAGUCCGAAUAGGGCGUUCAGUUGCUGGGCGUAGACCCGAAACCAGGUGAUCUAUCCAUGGCCAGGAUGAAGGUGCGGUAACACGUACUGGAGGUCCGAACCCACUAACGUUGAAAAGUUAGGGGAUGAGCUGUGGAUAGGGGUGAAAGGCUAAACAAACCUGGAAAUAGCUGGUUCUCUCCGAAAACUAUUUAGGUAGUGCCUCGUGUCUCACCUUCGGGGGUAGAGCACUGUCAUGGUUGGGGGGUCUAUUGCAGAUUACCCCGCCAUAGCAAACUCCGAAUACCGAAGAGUGCAAUCACGGGAGACAGACAUCGGGUGCUAACGUCCGGUGUCAAGAGGGAAACAACCCAGACCGCCAGCUAAGGUCCCCAAAUAUGGCUAAGUGGGAAACGAAGUGGGAAGGCUAAAACAGUCAGGAGGUUGGCUUAGAAGCAGCCACCCUUUAAAGAAAGCGUAAUAGCUCACUGAUCGAGUCGUCCUGCGCGGAAGAUGUAACGGGGCUAAGCCAUAUACCGAAGCUGCGGAUGCGUGCUUGCACGCAUGGUAGGAGAGCGUUCCGUAAGCCUGCGAAGGUGCCUUGUAAAGGGUGCUGGAGGUAUCGGAAGUGCGAAUGCUGACAUGAGUAGCGAUAAAGGGGGUGAAAGGCCCCCUCGCCGUAAGCCCAAGGUUUCCUACGCAACGUUCAUCGGCGUAGGGUGAGUCGGCCCCUAAGGCGAGGCAGAAAUGCGUAGCUGAUGGGAAGCAGGUCAAUAUUCCUGCACCAUUGUUAGAUGCGAUGGGGGGACGGAUCGCGGAAGGUUGUCCGGGUGUUGGACGUCCCGGUCGCUGCAUUGGAGAAGGCGCUUAGGCAAAUCCGGGCGCAGGAUUCAAGGGUGUGGCGCGAGCGACUUCGGUCGCGAAGCAAUUGGAAGUGGUUCCAAGAAAAGCCUCUAAGCUUCAGUCUAACGAUGACCGUACCGCAAACCGACACAGGUGGGCGAGAUGAGUAUUCUAAGGCGCUUGAGAGAACUCGGGAGAAGGAACUCGGCAAAUUGGUACCGUAACUUCGGGAUAAGGUACGCCCUUGUAGCUUGACCAGCCUGCGCUGGAAGGGUGAAGGGGUUGCAAUAAACUGGUGGCUGCGACUGUUUAAUAAAAACACAGCACUCUGCAAACACGAAAGUGGACGUAUAGGGUGUGACGCCUGCCCGGUGCCGGAAGAUUAAAUGAUGGGGUGCAAGCUCUUGAUUGAAGUCCCGGUAAACGGCGGCCGUAACUAUAACGGUCCUAAGGUAGCGAAAUUCCUUGUCGGGUAAGUUCCGACCUGCACGAAUGGCGUAACGAUGGCCACACUGUCUCCUCCCGAGACUCAGCGAAGUUGAAGUGUUUGUGAUGAUGCAAUCUACCCGCGGCUAGACGGAAAGACCCCAUGAACCUUUACUGUAGCUUUGCAUUGGACUUUGAACCGAUCUGUGUAGGAUAGGUGGGAGGCUAUGAAACCGGAACGCUAGUUUCGGUGGAGCCGUCCUUGAAAUACCACCCUGGUUUGUUUGAGGUUCUAACCUUGGUCCGUGAUCCGGAUCGGGGACAGUGCAUGGUAGGCAGUUUGACUGGGGCGGUCUCCUCCCAAAGGGUAACGGAGGAGUACGAAGGUACGCUAGGUACGGUCGGAAAUCGUGCUGAUAGUGCAAUGGCAUAAGCGUGCUUAACUGCGAGACCGACAAGUCGAGCAGGUGCGAAAGCAGGUCAUAGUGAUCCGGUGGUUCUGUAUGGAAGGGCCAUCGCUCAACGGAUAAAAGGUACUCUGGGGAUAACAGGCUGAUACCGCCCAAGAGUUCAUAUCGACGGCGGUGUUUGGCACCUCGAUGUCGGCUCAUCUCAUCCUGGGGCUGUAGCCGGUCCCAAGGGUAUGGCUGUUCGCCAUUUAAAGAGGUACGUGAGCUGGGUUUAAAACGUCGUGAGACAGUUUGGUCCCUAUCUGCCGUGGGCGUUGGAUAUUUGAAGGGGGCUGCUCCUAGUACGAGAGGACCGGAGUGGACGAACCUCUGGUGUACCGGUUGUGACGCCAGUCGCAUCGCCGGGUAGCUAUGUUCGGAAGAGAUAACCGCUGAAAGCAUCUAAGCGGGAAACUCGCCUUAAGAUGAGAUAUCCCUGGAGGCUUGACCUCCUUGAAGGGUCGUUCGAGACCAGGACGUUGAUAGGUCGGGUGUGUAAGCGCAGUAAUGCGUUCAGCUAACCGAUACUAAUUGCCCGUAAGGCUUGAUCCU